rnacentral:rRNA from 1 species
AACGAACGCUGGCGGCAUGCCUAACACAUGCAAGUCGAACGAGACCUUCGGGUCUAGUGGCGCACGGGUGCGUAACACGUGGGAAUCUGCCCUUUGCUUCGGAAUAACAGUUAGAAAUGACUGCUAAUACCGGAUGAUGUCGAAAGACCAAAGAUUUAUCGGCAAAGGAUGAGCCCGCGUAGGAUUAGGUAGUUGGUGGGGUAAAGGCCUACCAAGCCGACGAUCCUUAGCUGGUCUGAGAGGAUGAUCAGCCACACUGGGACUGAGACAGGGCCCAGACGCCUACGGGAGGCAGCAGUGGCGAAUAUUGGAAAAUGAGCGUAAGUCUGAUCCAGCAAUGCCGCGUGAGUGAUGAAGGCAUUAGGGUUGUAAAGCUCUUUUACCAGGGAUGAUAAUGACAGUACCUGGAGAAUAAGCUCCGGCAAACUCCGU